UACGGAGGAUCCGAGCGUUAUCCGGAUUUAUUGGGUUUAAAGGGAGCGUAGGUGGAUUGCUAAGUCAGUUGUGAAAGUUUGCGGCUCAACCGUAAAAUUGCAGUUGAAACUGGCAGUCUUGAGUACAGUAGAGGUGGGCGGAAUUCGUGGUGUAGCGGUGAAAUGCUUAGAUAUCACGAAGAACUCCGAUUGCGAAGGCAGCUCACUGGACUGCAACUGACACUGAGGCUCGAAAGUGUGGGUAUCAAACAGG
rnacentral:rRNA from 1 species